CCUUCAGACUGCUCCAUUCCACACAGCACUAACCCCCACGAGAUGCUCCAUGACUCCCUGGCGUAGCCCACAGAUGCUCGUAGAUACGGCUGCCCAUCCCCGUGCGUCCCUCCGUCUGUCUGUCUGUCAGAGCCCUGAACUUUACAAAAGAGGAUAAAGUCAAUUUGUCUGCGCUCGUUCCGGGCGGAGCCCCGCGUGGCUUACGACAACUUAUCACGGGUAACAGAAAACGACGUGCUGUCUCCGGCACCGAGGCGAAACAAGGAGGAAGCGUCCAGCAAAGAGAAAACUCGAGCGGGUAAAAAAAGGGUUGAACAAUCCAGGCUGAGGUUGAUUCAAAUACCGGUUAAUAGUUAUACAGCUUUUUAUAAUAACACUGAUCUCCUCUCCAACUUUUUUCUGCUGUCCCUCUCCACAGGAUUGUGAAAAUUAUUGCAGCUUUCCAUGUGGGAUGUGCAAGUGUCCUUGUAUGUCAUACAUGUAUGUAUGGAAACCUAAACAAGCUUAUACGUUUUUGAAUUUCAAUUGUCAGGUUGAGCAAUGUGCUCAAAUUGUCAAGUUUAAGUGAAGUUGCGAAAGAUGGCUGUUUUAAAUUUUUUUUUAACCAAUUUUCCCUCCAACUUUUACUUGACAAUGCAAAGAUGCUUUACCUGCGUCCACGAUAUCCACUUUGAUAGAUAUGUUUCAAGAGAUAUGCACAAAUGCACCCCAUCUUCACUCACGGUAAGGUGUUAAUAGAUAAAUAUAAAUAAAGAUAGAUAAAUAUGAUGAUUUUUUUAUUUUUUAUUAUUAUUUAUCAUAAAAUGGGCUCAUCUUUUUAACAACAGUAUAAAGAAGUUAUUGGCACUAAAAAUGAAACAUAAUUCAUUUUCCAAUUUAAAUGUUCUCACUUUAAAGGGAUGCACUUUAUAAAUGUCUGGAAAAUGUCUCGACGUCGCCUCUAUUACUGCACUGACUGGAAAGUGGUCAUUUUCUAUCUGAAUAAAGGUGCCAAGUGAUUUAUCACAUUUGUAGCCAACCGGAUCCAACACAUGAGGUCGAGCACAAACUCUGAACAAUGGCGACAUAUCUGCUUCAAAAAUAACCCAGCUGACUGCGCCAAAAGAAGGCCAACUGUGUCCAGGGUUGAAAGCUGAAGCGGCUCGUCACCAAGUCUUUGUUUGAUAACAGGGAUUUUCCUUCGCAGAGAAUCGCAAGGUCUGUCAUAUUUGGUGGAUUUCUGUCAUUUCUAAUAGGUGCUGUAUUACAUCAACGUGGUGGUAUCGUAUUUUUAUCUGAGUAAAUGUCACCACGACAAUGUAAAAUGUAUUUACUUAAUUAGUUAUCUUAAUUAUCUUCGGAUGCCACAGUGAAGAAGUAAGGAAAGAUAGAAAUGGAAACCUUUUAACGUCUCGUCUGUAAUGCACUUUAAAUUUCAACUAUUUAGUUGAAAGAGUUGCUGUGAAAUCAUCGGCCCGGACUGCCGAGAGGAGAACAUGUGACCUACGGUAUCAUGAGCAAGCCGCUCAUUCCGUAGGUCUGUAGGGCUCAGUCCCUUUGCUGUCCCACGGGGGACAUCCUGCAUUAGCAUGGACACGUCAUCUGGUGGAUGAUGACACACUCCAGUAGCCCCAGAAACUGGCCUCGGCUACCGAGUUCCUCCAUCCCCCACCAAGAGGUCACCCCCCCCUCAGCAGUCAGCACUCCCUCCACCUUCUGCGUGGCAAUAAUCACAGGAUCGCUGGACUGAUGCCUCUUCAGUGAACCUCUGCUCGGUCCUAUUUUAAUGUUUAUUUGUGAUUUUUUUUAGGACAAAUGCUGAUGAAACUAGUGUAAACUGUUACUGAUGGACCCAUUGAUGAGCGGAGCCCCAUAAUAUCUAUUAGAAAAGCUCGUGAAAUGAUUCACUUAUCCAACAGAUCACAGAGGAAAGGAGAGGAGAUUGGUUCAGCAUUGCUUAUUGUGAAUCAGCCAUCUAAAUAGUACAUAAUCGGUGGAGAAAUAUAUUUUGAAUUGGAAGACGGAGGUCAAGCCAAACGCACCUGUUUACUCUUCGUCAUUCGCCAUCCAAGGGAGUCGAAGCAGAGAAAGGCAAUGAGGCGCUUUAUCAAAUUCAGACACCUCUGCUGACAGUAAAACAAUGGAAUACAAAUGUCCCCUCCCAUCUGUGGACACAUGAUAUGAAGAGCGUGAUAUUUGACUUCACGCAUCCCCCCCCCCCACCCAACUCCUGGUUCCACAAAUCACCUGUCGGCUCUCUUGCAAUCACAAAAAGGGUCAAAGGCUCCUCGUCAUGCUUGUCGAUCACAGCAGUGUCCAACUUGAUGCCCUGAACUGACUUUGUAGUUCACUCCGGAGUUGAGAGAGUGAGAAAACUCAACACACAGUAGCUAAAAAGGGAAACAGGAAGUUAGAUACAAUAGAGAAGACCUUUGAUCCACGAUGAGGGGGACGACUUCCCCUCUGGGUGCAAACUAUUAAUGCGAAAGUGACUCUUUCCAUUGCACUUUUGUUACUGCAAAUAAUGGAUCUAAAAUAAGCACACAAUGGCAGGCAGGCGGGCGACACUUGCACCCAGCCAUGUGCAGGAAGGGAGCGGGAGGUAAUUGUAUGAAAAUGAGUGAUUUGUUGCGGCCGGGCUGAUUAAGAGCGCCGGCCGGUCGCCAUUUAAGGACAGAGGGUCCCGUGUUUGAGCUCCUCCUGCAUCGACUGUGUGGAACCGGUAUCUGCUGCUUGAAGUGCGUCCGUGAACACCUCAAGGCAUUCGGAAGCUCCUCUGGGUCACAGGUGGAGCCUCGCCAAAUGAAAUGCGCGUCUUUGCUUUUCCAAUAUUUUGUAUUUGUGUGCAUCAGACCAACGGGAGGCCCUCGCAGACAGUGUUCCUCUAAAGAAAAAAUAACAAUUACAAAAACCCGGACGGAAAGCUGAUUUGAUUGGCAAUUUUUUUUUUUGCAAGGCCAGCUGCAGGAUGAGUGUGCAGGAGAAAGGGAGAGAAGGCGGACGGUUUUGUAUUCAGGCUGCUUGUGCCUGUGUGCGUACACGUGUGUUUUUCCAUCGUUUAUCACUGUAACCUAGAGAACACGGGUGAAAGAGCGGUCGUAAUACACGUGUAAUGACAAAAGUAUUCGGUUUUAUCACCACUUGUUGUUUUUUCUCUUCAUUUUUAAGAGACCCGCCAGCAGCGAGGAUCAUGAAAUCCAUUUUCCAGCGACCGUCGCUCACUGAAAACGUCUACAUAUGAACAUACGCAAGUAGCCUUGGAUACACAAACACACUUGUGCUGAAUUAGCAGCACAAAGACGCUGGUUAUAAAAUGUUGAAGUUGCAGUCUGUGAAAACAAUAAGCAGCAGAGCUUUGUGUAGCUGAAAGAAAAGCCUUGAGGUCGCCGUCAUGAGGAAACUUUUUAUGAACUCCUGUCACGGGAGCGGCAGAGUAUCUGGUGCUGGUCUGGUUGUGGAAACAGACGAUGGGCUCUGCCUGGGGACCACGGCCUUUGGUGAACUGAUAUGGAUGAUAGUCCUUGUUUCAGGCUCAUGGAUUCAUCUCUAAUAACUGGAAUACUAUUUAUUGGCAAGAUUAGAAAAAGGGGAAUUCCCCCCUCGCGAUUUCUGCAUCAACUGAUCUUUCUUUUUAUCAGUGUUAUAUUAUAUUAGAAGAGAAAGAGACGGUGGGCGAAACGGUGGCUCAGAUGCUUCCAACGAGGUUCUAGUCGAAGAAAAUUGUGUUUCUAUCUCUCAUGAGCACAGCUACUAGAGUGCCGCUUCACUCAAAGCAUUCAUGAAAGACUUUUUACUUCUUUUUUUUUUUUUACAUUUUGAUUUGAUUAAUACUUAUUGCGUUUGUCAGUCAGCAGGAACAGCUUUGCCUGUCGUGCCAAAAAGUGAUUGCCAAGAGAUUGCAGCCUGUUAGAGCAUAUUACCCAGUUUAUUGUCUACAGCUGCUUUCAUGUGGAUGACUUUUAUUGAAGUAACACUACAUCACAACAACUGUUUUUCAGCAUGAACGGGAAAUAUUUCAAUCUUUUAUCUCGUCGGAAUUUACAGAUAUUAUUUUCCAACAUACUCUUCAAUUGACAGAUACAAAUAGGAUAAAACAACUUCUGAGGGGAGGUCUCCGGAGACUUUUCUAAUGUGACUCUUCAUCUUGUGACGAAUGUCCCACAGCAGCGCCUCCCGAGAGGCCACGACAUCAAACAGUGGAGACUGUGUGCGUGUGCGCGCGUGUGUGUGUGUGUGUGUGUGUGUGUGUGUGUGUGUGUGUGUGUGUGUGUGUGUGUGUGUGUGUGUGCAUAAAGCUCUGUGUAAAUGGGUGAACGAAAGAUGACCAAGCAGCGUCGCAACACGUGGCUGCAGGACGCGUCUCGCCUUCAUCGUGGGAUUUUUUUUUUUUUUUGUUCACCAGGCGCCGAGCGCAGUAAUCUGUUUACAGUGCGCGCGUUGAUGGUCAUUUUUUAUGAUGUUGUUUAAUCCCCGGUUGAA
ensembl:lncRNA